UGGGGAAUAUUGGGCAAUGGGCGAAAGCCUGACCCAGCAACGCCGCGUGAAGGAAGAAGGUCUUCGGAUCGUAAACUUCUAUCCUUGGUGAAGAUAAUGACGGUAGCCGAGAAGGAAGCCCCGGCUAACUACGUGCCAGCAGCCGCGGUAAUACGUAGGGGGCAAGCGUUGUCCGGAAUGAUUGGGCGUAAAGGGCGCGUAGGCGGCCUGGUAAGUCUGGAGUGAAAGUCCUGCUUUUAAGGUGGGAAUUGCUUUGGAUACUGUCGGGCUUGAGUGCAGGAGAGGUAAGUGGAAUUCCCGGUGUAGCGGUGAAAUGCGUAGAGAUCGGGAGGAACACCAGUGGCGAAGGCGACUUACUGGACUGUAACUGACGCUGAGGCGCGAAAGUGUGGGGAGCAAACAGG
rnacentral:rRNA from 1 species